UACGUAGGGUGCGAGCGUUGUCCGGAAUUACUGGGCGUAAAGAGCUCGUAGGUGGUUUGUCGCGUUGUUCGUGAAAACCGGGGGCUUAACCCUCGGCGUGCGGGCGAUACGGGCAGACUUGAGUACUGCAGGGGAGACUGGAAUUCCUGGUGUAGCGGUGGAAUGCGCAGAUAUCAGGAGGAACGCCGGUGGCGAAGGCGGGUCUCUGGGCAGUAACUGACGCUGAGGCGCGAAAGCGUGGGGAUCAAACAGG
rnacentral:rRNA from 1 species